AGAGAUCAAAUUAUAUUCAUAAGGUAAAAAGGCAGUUAAAUAUUUUAUUAGAAGCUUAUUGAUUUUUUAUAUAAAGGUAAAAUUUAAAUAUAAAUUAAUAAUAUUAUUUAAGCUAUUAAUAUUGAAUCUGCGACAACCUAGAGGGAAACUGGGAUUAGAUACCCCAUUAUUCUUGGAUUUAAAUAAAUAUAAAUUUACCAGAGUACUAUGAAUCAUGUUAAAAAUUUAAAACUCAAAGAGCUUGGCGGUGUUUUAGACCUCUCAGGGGAACCUGUCUCUUAAUCGACAAUCCACGUUAAACCUAACCCUUUUUAGUAUAACAGUUUGUAUACCAUCGUCGUCAGGUAACUUUUAAAAAUUUAGAAGUUGGCAACUAAAUACUUAUAAAUUUAGACGUCAGAUCAAGGUGCAGCCUAUAUAAGGGUGAAGAUGGGUUACAAUUAAUAAUUAUAAAUACGGAUAUGAUAAUGAAAUACGUAUUAUAGUGAAGGAGGACUUGAAAGUAAGAAUGGCUUGUAUAAAAAGAAUCUGAAUUAGGCUCUGAAACAUGC
rnacentral:rRNA from 1 species